rnacentral:rRNA from 1 species
AUUGAACGCUGGCGGCAGGCCUAACACAUGCAAGUCGAGCGGUAGAGAGAAGCUUGCUUCUCUUGAGAGCGGCGGACGGGUGAGUAAUGCCUAGGAAUCUGCCUGGUAGUGGGGGAUAACGCUCGGAAACGGACGCUAAUACCGCAUACGUCCUACGGGAGAAAGCAGGGGACCUUCGGGCCUUGCGCUAUCAGAUGAGCCUAGGUCGGAUUAGCUAGUUGGUGAGGUAAUGGCUCACCAAGGCGACGAUCCGUAACUGGUCUGAGAGGAUGAUCAGUCACACUGGAACUGAGACACGGUCCAGACUCCUACGGGAGGCAGCAGUGGGGAAUAUUGGACAAUGGGCGAAAGCCUGAUCCAGCCAUGCCGCGUGUGUGAAGAAGGUCUUCGGAUUGUAAAGCACUUUAAGUUGGGAGGAAGGGCAGUAACCUAAUACGUUAUUGUUU